AGAGUUUGAUCAUGGCUCAGAUUGAACGCUGGCGGCAUGCUUUACACAUGCAAGUCGAACGGUAACAUAAGAAAGCUUGCUUUCUUGAUGACGAGUGGCGAACGGGUGAGUAAUACAUCGGAACGUACCCUGUAGUGGGGGAUAACUACUCGAAAGAGUGGCUAAUACCGCGUACAACCUGAGGGUAAAAGUGGGGGACCGCAAGGCCUCACGCUAUAGGAGCGGCCGAUGGAAGAUUAGGUAGUUGGUGGGGUAAAGGCCUACCAAGCCGACGAUCUUUAGCGGGUCUGAGAGGACGAUCCGCCACACUGGGACUGAGACACGGCCCAGACUCCUACGGGAGGCAGCAGUGGGGAAUUUUGGACAAUGGGCGAAAGCCUGAUCCAGCAAUGCCGCGUGAGUGAAGAAGGCCUUCGGGUUGUAAAGCUCUUUUGUUUGGGAAGAAAUCCUUAAGGCUAAUAUCCUUGGGGGAUGACGGUACCAAAAGAAUAAGCACCGGCUAACUACGUG
rnacentral:rRNA from 1 species